rnacentral:rRNA from 1 species
UACGUAGGGGCCGAGCGUUGUCCGGAGUUAUUGGGCGUAAAGCGCGCGCAGGCGGCCUCGCGCGCCCGACGUGAAAGCCCCCGGCUUACCCGGGGAGAGUCGUUGGGGACGGCGGGGCUUGAGGGCGGGAGAGGUCGGUGGAAUUCCCGGUGUAGUGGUGAAAUGCGUAGAGAUCGGGAGGAACACCUGUGGCGAAGGCGGCCGACUGGGCCGACCCUGACGCUGAGGCGCGAAGGCGUGGGGAGCGAACGGG